rnacentral:lncRNA from 1 species
UAACUCUGCUUCCGGGCAUGCCCACCCGCGUAUGGCCGCGCCCUGCUGCGGUGCUUGCUCGCCCGCUCCCGUUCCUUCUGCCUCUGCCGCACUAACCCACUGCCGCACGCCCCACGCCCGCUUGCUGCUGCCGCCUGCGCCCGCGCGCGCUCGGGCACCCAGACCGCGUCAUCGCCCGAGCUGCCGUGUUGCUUCGCUGCUGUGCUGCUCCUUGCGCUGUUGCUGCUCACUACUUGGCCACUGCUUGCUGCUGCCGCUACCUGCUGCUCUGUGUGCCUGCUACUGCCCUGCUCUGUUAUGUCGCUGCUGUUGCUUGCUACUGCUGCCCGUUGCGCUGCCUUGUAAACUGCCAUCGCUGCUGCUCUAUGGCCGUGGCCGUGUGUGUGCGUAGGUGUUGUGUGUGGCCGGUCUAUUUAGGCUAAUGCUUGAUUAGUUGUAGGGAUUAAUUAGUGGCUAGUUUAGCCUAUGUGCAAAUGACAUGUGGGUCCAUUUUAAUUAUGUUAGUUUUAUUUAAUUGUUUAGGUUCAGCCAAUGACAUAUGGGUCACCCCCUCCCCUUUUGACCAGUCAACUUGACUUGGUCAACCCGAAUUAAAACAAAAUCAAAAAAUUUCUUAAAGUCAUUAAAACUUUGGAAAAUCAUAGAAAAAAUGUAUGUAACUCGGAUGAAAAUGUUUUAUAUAAGAAAGUGAUCAGAAAAAUCCAACGAAUCUGAAUACGCGGUCCUUUCACCUCUCAUAUGCCCCUAGCAUGCUGAACAUGGAACCAUCCCCUCUCUUUCAUCUGUCGUAAUUCAUCUAACGCCGGGGAUUCAUCCUCGGAUGUUUAUCCCCUCCGUCUGCAACGUGUAGUACUAUGUUAGGACAACCCUAGCUUUACCUAUCAUCUUGUCAUGCCUUGUGAUGCAUUGUUUGCUCUGUAUUUAAUGUUUCUUCCCCCUCUUCUCUCCGGUAGACCCCGAGACCGAUGUCGCCCCUGUGAUCGACUACGUCGACGACGACCCCCUCCUUGCCAGAGCAACCAGGCAAGCAAACCCUCAUUGAGCAUUCCGAUAUCGCCCAUUUCUUUCCCUCUCAUGCUUGCAUUAGAACCGCUACUGCUUUCUGUAUGAUCCUACUCUGAUGCAUAGCCUAUUGUUGUUACCUGCUUUUAUACCUUACCUUCUUAUCCUAAACUUCUUAGUAUAGGUUGGUUAGUGAUCCAUCAGUGACCCCCACCUUGUCCGAGUUGCCCCGCUUUAUGUUCAAUGACUCGAUCAACGUGAUCGACGUCCAGGCCCCGACACCGCACAUCAUCCCCCUAGUUGUACGACUCUGCAGAGUUACCAUCGAGUGCCGAGGGUGGAACCUCUUACAUCACUCCUGAUGAGAUCUCAGUAGUGUAGCUAUACGACCGAGGUCAUCGAGGGUGAUUUCCUCCUUAACCUCUUUCGUUACGGCUCUGUCGUGCAACCCCUCAAGUGUGAACCUCGAGGGUGGAUCCUCUUACGUUCACCUUGAUGAUAACAUCGAGUGGAAUUCAUCGAGGGUGAUUCCUCGGGUUUUCAUCUUGGUGUUAGACACACAGUUACUAUGGUUACUAUGACUUUACACUGAACCAUGUUACUAAAGACGGGUCGACCCUGAGGGGUACCCGCGCGAGCUUAAUAGCGAGUGAUGUGGAGUCGAGCAUACCUGGAAGGUGCCCGCGAGAUACUUACGAGGCGUGGCCGGGUAUUCUUAGCCCUUGUCACAAGUACUCGAGAUGGGGAGACGGGGUCACAUCGAUCGUGAGUCUCUGCUCGUUACCGCGCGUUCCUAAUCCACUACGAUUUGGAUAUUUGAUCCGAGGGGCCUCUGGCCUGAUAGCACUAACCAUCACAUGGGCAUAGUAUGGGCGUUCUACAUCGUAUACAUCAGCCGAAACUUAAUAGACGUCAGCGACUGAGCGACGUGCGCCGGGUUGGACUGGUAAGCUCCUGCCUUUUAGGGAGGUAGCUAGGUCUGCUCACCGGCCACAUACGCAACAUGCAGGAGUUCCUGGGGAGAUGGCCCAUGACCCCUAGGGGCAUAGGUUUAGUCUGGCGUGCUGGCCUCUCUAUUAAGCCUAGGUCGGGUUGCGGCGUAUUGUUUGGCCGAGGCCGGGCAUGACCCAGGAAAGUGUGUUCGGCCGGAGUUAAUCGAGCGUGGUGGGUAAGUUGGUGCACCCCUGUAGGGAAGAAAACAUCUAUCGAUAGCCUGUCCUACGGUAACGGACACUUGGAGUUGUAUUUCAACUGAUACAACUAGAACUGGAUAAUUGUGAUGAGAACUGGAUGCUGAUGCGAAUUGGAUUGUGAUAAUAAUUGGAUAGUAUGGCUCUGGGAUUGCUUUCUCGCAGGGAGUCAAGAAAGGAUCUCUGGCCGAGGUUGAUAACUCUACUGCUACUUUACUUUAUGUUACUCUACUCCCUCCUGUUGCUGCAAGAUGGUGGUUUCCAGAAGAUGCUAGUCUUCGAUAGGCUAGGCUUUCCCCUUCCCUUCUGGCAUUCUGCAGUUUAGUCCACAGAUACAACCCAUUCCUUUGAUACAGAUACAUACUUAGUUUAGAUCUGAUGUAAGUCUUGCGAGUACUUUGGAUGAGUACUCACGGUUGCUUUGCUACUUCUUUUCCCCCAUACCCGAUUGUUGCGACCAAAUGACGGAGCCCAGGAGCCAGACGAUGCCACUGAUGACUACUACUACCCGGAGGAUGCCUACUACUACGUGAACACCGCCGACGACUAGGAGUUGUUAGGAGGCUCCCAGGCAGGAGGCCUUGCCUUUUUCGACCGUUGUUGCUUUUGUGCUAGCCUUCUUAAGGCAAACUUGUUUAACUCAUGUCUGUACUCAGAUAAUGUUGCUUCCGCUGACUCUUUUGUUUUCGAGCUUAUGUAUUCGAGCCCUCGAGGCCCCUGGCUUGUAAUAUAAAGCUUGUAUUAUUUUAAUUUUUGUCUAGAGUUGUGUUGUGUUAUCUUCCCGUGAGUCCUUGAUCUUGAUCGUACACAUUUGCAUGCAUGAUUAGUGUACGAUUGAAUUGAGGGUGUCACAAGUUGGUAUCAGAGCCGACUGCCUAUAGGAAUCCCCCUUCCAAACUCCUUGGCCGAAGUUGAGUCUAGUCAAUGAAAAACUUUUACUAACUUGGCUGUGUGGCUUACGGGCCCACGUCGCCAUAUUGGUGGUAUUAGGAUCUUUUAUUCCUCGUCUAUACUCUGGAACUCUGAUCUCUCUUAUAUUCAAGUUAAAAUGGUUUUACUAACUCGAACAUUAGGAUCUCGUGAUCACACCCGCUUGGAGAGCCCCUUAUUUCAGAUGAUUGCCUACUGCAUCCGAAGAUUCCGAAGAUACUCUACGAUAUUCUCUCGAGACUUUGUGCCUGUUGCCUUUGCAAUUCCCUACCACCGAAAUAUCCUUAUGGAUAACUACACACACUUGCUAAUCUUACAUUCUAUCCCAUUGAUCUUGUUAUUACAAGAUGCCCUGAACUGCUCUCCUUUUUCCGAGAAUCCUUUGAGCUUACUGCCUUACAGUUCCUUGUCAUCUGAAUACCCCUACGGAUAACUUUGUGCACCUACCGAGUAUCCGCUCACCCUUAGUUGAUUCUUGUACUUCACAAAAGUCUUUGUAAUACCAUUCGUUCUUGUGAAAAUCCUCAACAGCCUAUUAUUCUUGAAUUUCUUGCUUGCUUUCAUUAUGGUUAAUAUCAUAAGUCUAGUUAUCUUAUUGUCAACCUUUGUCAUUAUCAUUUUGAGUCCAUUGGUACAAUAUGUUGCGAAUGCUCGCAAUCCUCAAUCAGAUCCUAGAAUUCAACCUUCCGGCUCAGACGUCAUUUUAACAUGUGCUGAAUCUCGAUCAAUCAAAUCGCCAUCGAUUGUAAUCCUAAGGCUAUUCUACAUAUACAUCCCUAAUCAGAGCAUUGCUUCUGAUCCCUUGUCAUGGAAUUCAUAAUUCCUUUGCAAUUAAGCUUUGAGUUAGUCAGUUGUUUCUAUAAUCUGAUCUCCUUGCAUUCUUUCUUCCUCUGGUUGAAUAUUGAUGCUCACAUCAGAUCCCUUGUGGACCACCAGACCCCUUUUUCGUAUUUUAUCCGACAACGUCCUUCUUAUUCAAUAAGUUUGUGAGCCUUUCCUCGGAUACAUAAUGCUUUUGGUAAAUUGCAUCCUCCGCUUUCCCAAGCAUGCUCUACUACCGAGCUUGUGUUAUUUAUUCUCAAAAUUUAUGAUAUAUGUUCCUAAGAUGCCCCGAUGGGUUGAACCUAUGCCUUCCCUAAUUUGUGUGAACUCAAAAGUCAUGCGGGUUAAACUCUAGUGGCUUUUCGUCAGAUAAAAUUUCAAUACUACAUCUUCAUCAAGAGCGAGAAGUAAAAUGAAAGGUUAUGCAUUGUAGAAGUGGGAGUCAACCCUGAACCUUGUGUUCAUGCCCGCGGACGCCGUGUGGGACUUAUCAUGAAAGCUUCUUGCAAGAAUAUUUAAUCAUUUGAAUAGUCUUCAGUUAUCGUGAAUUGGAUCCCUUGCAGUUAUGGUCCCGACCAUAUUUCCUCCUUGAUUCCAUUUACCAGAUAAGUUAAAAUACUUAUACUCUGCAAAUCAUUUCCCCUGUCCAACCUCUGGUCGGAUUUACCUUCCGGCAUUACACCUAGUACUUGAUACUGGGAAGUUUUAUACCCCAUCACAUCAUUCCUAGACUGAUCGGCUAUAUUUUUUUAAUCGUGUCAACUUUUAACUGUGCUACCUGGUCCUUAUGCCCGGAGCAACUUCCGACGAUGAGCUAAGCUUACGUCGAUCUUCCUCAUCUUAUCUUUUCACCUCGAACAACAAGCUUGACUUUGAGCUUGUGUCGAAUCCGUGGUUCUCAUAGCCUUUCACUUCAUCCUCCCUUUUCUGCUCGAGGGCAUCUUCAUAGAGUCUCUCGACAAACUUGUCUUGAUCACCGUCACACUUUGGCUUCUUCAGAGAUGUCAAUUGAAUUCAUGGCUAGAAAUACCAUCCUUGUCUCUCGAUGAUUUGUGUCAGCAUCAACAACAUUCUUGUCUUCCCCCCAACACAAACUUGAUCAUAUUGAUUUUGGGAUUACAUCCUUUUUGACAUGUCGAUGGUUUGCUACUGAGCCCGUCGGCCACACCCUCAUCUUUUCCCUGCUAAAAUUGUAUGACUUUUUUUAGUUGUUUCCGAUGGAUCCUUUGUGUUCCCAAGGUCCGACCUUUACCUGAUAGCCAUGUUAAUGCUACCCCGAAGUAUGACUGUGGUACUCAAACCUCAACAAGAGCAUUGGAAGCGCAAUGCUAAGUUUUCUUUAUCCAAACACCGUUGUAUGGGUAAUGUCAUGAAAUUUCUCUCCCCUUUCCUAAUGUGAUUUCUACAAUUAUAUCCCGUCAUGGAUAUCAUGCGCUGCUUGUCCUUGGGAAUGAUAUACCCCCUGAAUUAUGUGUUUAAACACAUUUUCCUAUCCAUUGUUCUGUUUAGUCUGAUAACCACAUUUUCCUUUCCAUUGUUUGGUUUAAACCUUCUUGAGGUUUAUAUGAUCUAAGCAGUAAUAAGUCACUGCUUUUGUAAACACCUCGUUGUAUCACUCUGUCAGUAAGACCCUGUUACUAAUGUUGAUGACAUUACGGUAGCCACCGAUGGACGGGAACUUUGCCUAUUGGUCCGCCUCGUUCAACGAGCAGGAAAAUGGUUCUCUUCAUCCCUCGCCCUUGGUACCAACAUUGUUGCCAACAUAACUGACCUGCUAUCCUCUAACAUGCCUUGCUACCAUGACUGUGCAAUAUGUCAGCAUCCUUCCUACUUUUGAACCAUAUGGUGGGCCCAUAACCCAUAGUUCCACAGGAUCGAAACCUGACUCUCUUGUCCGUCCCUAUUCCCAAGGUUAAUCCUCGUGCUUGGCUUCGUAUGUAAUUCAUGAACCACCUUCCUAGAGAUGAUCUAUUCUGGUACAAUGUGCAAUACUUAUUUUCAUUGCUCUGAACCCCUUUCACACUCUGUUUCGGGCAACGAAAGAUUUCCUGUCCACUUGAAGCUUGUUAUUGCACCUUCUUAUUUUGUUGUCGAUGACUUCCUUCAAUUUCAACUCGAGAGAUAUUUUAAGCUUCAUCCCCUGAGUUAACCGUCCGAUGCUCAACUUUGUUAAACUCGUCCUUGUAGAUUAUUCCCUCUUAUGAUUUCGUAAGUACAAUGAAGAUCCUGCAGGAAGAACGACAACUUGAUCAUGAUGCAUUGAUGAAGACAAAUGAAGACAUCAACACAAUGGAUCGACCUCUUUGAGAAGAGCAACCAAGAACAAAAGGAUCCGUUAGAAUUUCGUAACCAAAAAUUUCCCCUUACUCCACCUCUUAAAUCUCGAGACGAGAUUUCUUGUAGUGGAGGAGAUUUGUAACACCCUGGUAAUCUUGCUACAGUAAACUUCUGCUAAUGUCUGCCAAGUCAUCACAAUUAUUUUGCUAAUCAUCACUUUGUUCCAAAUCAAACUCUUACUCAAAUUGAAAUUGCAUGUCAAAUUAUUUUCUUCCAAAAUUAAAAGACAAAAAUGUUCGUUGGGUCACACAUUUUCACUAACUAGUUAUCAUGUAGAAACCAACAUCAUUUGACUCACCAUUUAAUUCCUAGGAAAAUAUAAAGUAGUCCAACUAUACUAAAAUAUCCUUUUCAAAAUAAAAAAAUGGUUAUAUAUUUCCAAAUGACCCCAUAUGUUGGGUGCUAUUUAAAAAUAUGGCAUUUGAUUUAUGUACCAAGUUUCAAUGUGAACAAAAUUCAAUUACUAUAAAAAGAAAAUACAAGACAGGAGAGAAAAUGCUUAUAGCACACAAUACUACAAAGUAAAGAAGAAAAACUGUACUGCUGUACUGGGCCCUAGUGGCCACAGUACAGCCCAACCUACUAGGCCACGGCCUUUCUUCCAUCUCUCGCUAGGAGAGGCAGAGGAGAGCCGUGGCGUGCAUCCAGCCGCCAUGGCUAUGGAUGGCCACCAUGUGCCCUCCCCAGCCCUACAAAUACACCCACGUGAAACCCUAACUCGCCCUCUUGCUUUCCCCACUUUUUCCCCCACCGCCCCUUCUCAUCCGCUCUAAAUCGGGCUCGGAACCUCAUGUGGUGACCACUGCCUUGUCGUCGUUGGCGCGGCCACCGUCGUUGCUGUCGCUCGGUAGUACGUCCAGGGGAACUGCCAUGGUCAUCUUCGUCCGUCCCGGGCGUCGGUUCAAGCAAGGACGCCGCGAGGCCGUCGCCAUCGCCAUCAUCUCCGUUUGGCCGCCGCCAUCUCGCCGACGACCUGCCAUGUUUUGACCGUCCCCAGCCUCGACGAGCUCGCCUACGACCUCUCUGUGAGCCACUCUUCCGAACCCCGCUGUCCCCGUUAUCAAUUCGUCGCCGUAGCCGUCGUCUGCGACCUCCAUGACUGCGCCUGUAACUCUGCUUCCGGGCAUGCCCGCCCGCGUAUGGCCGCGCCCUUCUGCGGUCCUUGCUCGCCCGCUCCCGUUCCUUCUGCCGCUGCCGCACUAACCCACUGCCGCACGCCCCACGCCCACUUGCUGCUGCCGCCUGCGCCCGCGCGCGCUCGGGCGCCCAGACCGCGUCGUCGCCCGAGCUGCCGUGUUGCUUUGCUGCUGUGCUGCUCCUUGCGCUAUUGCUGCUCACUACUUGGCCACUGCUUGCUGCUGCCGCUACCUGCUGCUCUGUGUGCCUGCUACUGCCCUGCUCUGUUAUGUCGCUGCUGUUGCUUGCUACUGCUGCCCGUUGCGCUGCCUUGUAAACUGCCAUCGCUGCUGCUCUAUGGCCGUGGCCGUGUGUGUGCGUAGGUGUUGUGUGUGGCCGGUCUAUUUAGGCUAAUGCUUGAUUAGUUGUAGGGAUUAAUUAGUGGCUAGUUUAGCCUAUGUGCAAAUGACAUGUGGGUCCAUUUUAAU